rfam:Trichuris trichiura, WGS project CBXK01000000 data, contig: TTRE_1461
GGCCGGAUAAGGCGUCCCCGCCGCAUCCGGCACAGGCACCGUGCUGAUGUCUGAUGCGACGCUGGCGCGUCUUAUCAGACC